AUACAGUCUGAAAUCUGUCGGUCUUUAAAAAAAAAAAAACAUGUCUCUAUGUCCUUUCUGCUACAUUGGGCAGGUAAAGUAUACAGUUAAAAUGAUAAUACAGAAAGCAUUUUUGAAAAUAAAUUAUAGCCUGUAACAGUGGACGAAGUCAGAUGGAAAAUUUAACUCCUGAAAAAUUAAUUGGUCAGAGAUACAGUGAGCUAAAGAUUAUGCAUUUGAAGGAAGAGUUGUGGGUUUUGAGUUAUUAACAUAGAAUUUGUGUCAUUUAGAUAUAGUUUGAAAUCUCUUCCUAUCCCGUUACCAACUGUUUGACUUUAGGCUAUUAAUGUUUUUAAACCAAAGUUUUCCCAUAUGAGAAAAGAGGAUUAUAUUUCCUAUCUCAUGUGUUGUGAAAAGUGAAAAGAUUAUGUAUGGAAUGCACUUAACACAGUGCCUGGCACAUAGUAAGUGGCUGAUAAAUGUUGAUUGCAAUCUUUUUUUAACACUCAUUGCCACACAACAGGUGCUCAAGAAGCAUUUGUUUAAUGAAUAUUCCUAUAGUCCUGGAUUCAGGAAACCAAAAAUGUCAUGCUUAAUAUUGGCAUGGCUAAUUGAAAGUUCAUAAAAAUUUAGUCCCACACCAGUCCAACACAGCAUACAGCAUCAUGCUUUCUUCUGUUUGGUCCUUUGGGGGUAAAGACAACUGUUAUUCAUGAAGUGCCUAAGAGUUAUGGGAAGGAAAAUUACAGGCAUAUCUCCAGCAUAUUGCAGGUUUAGUUCCAGACCACUGCAAUAAAGCAAAUAUUGCAAUAAAGUGAGUCAAAUGAAUUUUUUGGUUUGCCAGUGCAUAUAGAAAUUAUGUUUACAGUAUAUUAUAGUCUAUUAAAUGUGCAAUAGCAUCAUGCCUGAAAAAACAAUGUUUAUACCUUAACUAAAGAAUACUUUAUUACUAAAAAAUACUAACCAUCAUCAGAGGCUUGCUUCAGAGAACCACAAUCUUUUUGGAGGGAAGGGUUUUGCCUCAGUGUUAAUGGCUGCUGACUGAUGAAGGCAGUGGUUGCUGAAGGUUGGGGUGGCUGUUACAAUUUCUUAAAAUAAGAGAAUUAUUAAGUUUGCUAUAUUAAUUGACUCUUCCUUUCAAAAAUAUUUUUUGUCUAGCAUGUGAGGCUGUUUGAUAGCAUUUUACCCACAGUGGAACUUCUUUCCAAAUUGGAGUCAGUCUUCUCAAACCCUACCACUGCUUUAUCACCUACAUGUAUAUAAUAUUCUGAAUCCUCUGUUGUCAUUUCAGCAGUCUUCACAGCAUCUUCAGCAGGAGUACAUUCCAUCUCAAGAAACCACUUUCUUUGUUCAUCCAUAAGAGCAACUUCUUAUCCACGUGAAUGUAGCACUGCUCCAUGAAAAUUUGGUCCUAGAGGUACAACCGGAAUUUAGCAAAUGCCACUGGAAGCAGUUACAUCAAUCCAAGUAGGAGAAAGGAGAGUAGCAGAUGCAGAAAAUGGUCUUCUGUUUGAUCUGCAGCAAGAAGAAAACACUGCUCCUCGACUACAUGAUGCACUUGGCUUCUAAACCCCAAGCUAACCAGACUAUCCUAUAUCCUCUAUUUGCUCCAUUCACCUGUAUAUCCCUUCUUGUGGAGUCAUGGAAAACCGUGGAGCAAGGGCAAGGUAGGGAUUACCUCCAUCUUUUUCAAGACACACAUUAUUGUGAUAUCUUUAAGUACUGUUGACCUUCCAGCUAUAGAUAUCCCCACAUGAAAAUUGUACACAGUUUUGAUAUUCAAAAGUACCCCCAAAUCUCAGAAAAUACAUAAAAGGUGUAUUUUUGUUUGUUUUGUUUUUUCUCCUCCAUGAUAAAGGAGGGAACUGAAAAGGGCAAUGUGGCAAAAUGUCUAAGUUUCCAGAAUGCUCUGUCAGAACAUAGCAACAUAUUCCGCUCCACUGAGAUGGAAUUAAGGGUGUUGCAGCUCAACAAACAUGGAGUUGAGGAAUGAAACAGUCUCCAUGACUCCAGACACACUCUAUUUCUAGUCUGUUACUCAUUUGCCAUCUUUUUCUGUUGGGAACUUACAUAUUGCCUCUUGUGUCUUUCUGCGCUCACUGUGGCUCAGGCCAUCACUGUUGAUUUUCACAGGCUUGAGAGUAGGGAAUUAGUGCCUCAAAUGCUCACCUCCAGUAAUGAUAACAUUUCUUGAAUAUUUACUGUGUGUAGGCUGUUCAAAUUUUGUGUGUAUGUGUGUGAGUUUUUAAGUAUAACAGGCUUAUACAUAAGUAGAUGAAACAUGUACAGCUGUAGGAGUUGUUACAAAAUGAACAUACCCAGGUUAACCACUACCCUGACCAUGCUCCUUCUCUACCACUAAUACAUAGCUACUCUCCCCAUCCCCAAAUAUAACCUGUAUUCUGACUUCAAAUACCAUAUAUUAACUCUGGCUUUCUUAGAACUUUAUAUCAAUGGAAUCAUACUGUAUGCAUUCUUUUGUGUCUGGCUUCUUUAACUCAACUUUGUAAUUGUAAGAUUAACCCAUGUUUGUGAAUGUUUGUACACUCCCAUUGCUGUAUAGCUUAUUUAUCCAUUAUACAUUUGUUACUAUGAUUAUUAAUAUAUGAGUAUUCUUGUACAUGUUUACUGGUGAUAUAUUUCUGUUAUGUCUAUACUCAGGAAAGAAAUACCCAUUUAUGCUCCCAGUAGCAAUUAUCUGACAGUUCAGUUGCUCCGUAUUACUGUCGAUACCUCAUAUUAUCUGUCUUUUUAAUUUUAGCUAUUUGGUGGGUAUUUGUAUAUCUCACUGCAAUUUUAAUUUUCUUAUCCUUUAUGAUUACUGUUGUUGAGACUGUUCCAAAUUUGUGUGUAUGUGUAUGAACUUUUAAGUAUGUUAUUUAGUACCCUCUCACAUUUUUCUUGUCAGUAUAAAUAUCCUUUUUUGUGAAGUUCAAGACUUUUGCCCAAUAGUCAAUUGAGAUGUCUACAUUUCUCGUGUUGAUUUAAAGGACUGGGAGGACGGGAUGGAUAUACAUGAAUACUUUGUUAAAGAUGUAAAUAUUUAUGCUUCAUGGAUAUUUUUUUAUUUCUUUAUGGCAUCUUUUGUUGAAAGAACAGGUCUUAAUUUAAAUACCGUUAAAUUUAAACCUUUUUGUUGUCAUUGUUGUUCCUCAUACUUAGUGCUUUAAUGUCCUUCCCUAUCUCAAGGUCAUGAAGAAAUUUCCCAAAAAAAAAUUUUUUUGUUUGUUUUCUUUCUAACUUUUAGCUUCACAAUCCAUAUGGGAUUGAUUUUUUUUUUGUACAGUAGGAAGUAUGGGUUAAGUCAUUUGUUUCCAUGUGCAGAUCUAAUUGAUUCACUAUUGGUUUUUGAAAAGAUUAUUCUAUCCCAACUACACUACAUUGUGACAUUUUAAAAAAUCAAGUGACAGUUUCAGGCAGCAAAUCUUUGGAUUUUCUUCUGUUCCAUCAGACCAUUUGUCUGUUCUUACCACAUUUUGUUAAUUACUACUGUUUUAGAAUACAUUUUGGUAUUUGGUAUGUAUGUUUAUCUUCUUCAAACUUGCCUCCAAUUUUGGUCUUCUUUAAGCUCACCUUUGCUCUUUUGAGCCCCUAUAUAAAUUUUAAAAUCAGUGUGUUGACACAGCCCCUCUUCCACCACUAACAUACACAUAUACACUUUAAAAAAAUCUGCCAGAAUUUUUAUUGGAAUUGUAAUGAAUCCAUUGGUCAAUUUGAGAAAAUUUACUUUUUGUUUUAAAUGUUAAGUUUUUCAAACCAU